UACCAGCACCCCGAGUGGUCGGGACGAUUAUUGGGCCUAAAGCAUCCGUAGCCGGUCCUGCAAGUCUUCCGUUAAAUCCAGCUGCUUAACAGAUGGGCUGCGGGAGAUACUACAGGGCUAGGAGGCGGGAGAGGCAAGCGGUACUUUAUGGGUAGGGGUAAAAUCCGCUGAUCCAUAGAAGACCACCAGUGGCGAAGGCGGCUUGCCAGAACGCGCUCGACGGUGAGGGAUGAAAGCUGGGGGAGCAAACCGG
rnacentral:rRNA from 1 species